AGUCAUAGCAUGCACAGCCAGAUGAGACCGGCUUAGUCCUGGCUUUGCCGCUUAUGAACAGUGUGACCCUGGGAAGCGCUGACAACCCUCCUGACCAUGACUGCUUCAUUUGUGAAAUGGAGAAUAUGCUCACUUCUCAAGUCAGACGCAGACAGGAGAGGCUCACAUUAGAUGGUCUCAGGGAUGUGUUCUGUGGGAACUAGUUAGGAAUUGCUUUCAGUUGUCAAUAACAGGCUGUCAUAAGAUGAUGUCUUAAACAAUAUAGAGGUUUAUUUAAUAUUAUUUAAGGAGAAAUCCAACUUGCUAACUGGUGCAAUGGCCCAAAGUCAAGGUCUUUAGCUUUCUGGGUCUUUCCUUCCUUGCCCACAAAUGGCUGCUGUUGCUCCAGGGUUCACACCCAUUUGCC
rnacentral:lncRNA from 1 species